AGCGAACGCUGGCGGCAGGCUUAACACAUGCAAGUCGAGCGCCCCGCAAGGGGAGCGGCAGACGGGUGAGUAACACGUGGGAACGUGCCUUUUGGUUCGGAACAACUGAGGGAAACUUCAGCUAAUACCGGAUAAGCCCUUACGGGGAAAGAUUUAUCGCCAAAAGAUCGGCCCGCGUCUGAUUAGCUAGUUGGUGAGGUAAUGGCUCACCAAGGCUACGAUCAGUAGCUGCUGAGAGGAUGAUCAGCCACAUUGGGACUGAGACACGGCCCAAACUCCUACGGGAGGCAGCAGUGGGGAUAUUGGACAAUGGGGGAAACCCUGAUCCAGCCAUGCCGCGUGAGUGAUGAAGGCCCUAGGGUUGUAAAGCUCUUUCAGCGGGGAAGAUAAU
rnacentral:rRNA from 1 species